rnacentral:rRNA from 1 species
UGGGGAAUUUUGGACAAUGGGCGAAAGCCUGAUCCAGCAAUGCCGCGUGAGUGAAGAAGGCCUUCGGGUUGUAAAGCUCUUUUGUCAGGGAAGAAACGGUGAAAGCUAAUAUCUUUUGCUAAUGACGGUACCUGAAGAAUAAGCACCGGCUAACUACGUGCCAGCAGCCGCGGUAAUACGUAGGGUGCAAGCGUUAAUCGGAAUUACUGGGCGUAAAGCGUGCGCAGGCGGUUUUGUAAGUCUGAUGUGAAAUCCCCGGGCUCAACCUGGGAAUUGCAUUGGAGACUGCAAGGCUAGAAUCUGGCAGAGGGGGGUAGAAUUCCACGUGUAGCAGUGAAAUGCGUAGAUAUGUGGAGGAACACCGAUGGCGAAGGCAGCCCCCCUGGGUCAAGAUUGACGCUCAUGCACGAAAGCGUGGGGAGCAAACAGGAUUAGAUACCCUGGUAGCCCACGCCCUAAGCGAUGUCUACUAGUUGUCGGGUCUUAAUUGACUUGGUAACGCGGCUAACGCGUGAAGUAGACCGUCUGGGGAGUACGGUCGCAAGAUU